AGUCGAGCGAAUAGGAUUAAGAGCUUGCUCUUAUGAAGUUAGCGGCGGACGGGUGAGUAACACGUGGGUAACCUGCCCUUAAGAUUGGGAUAACUCCGGGAAACCGGGGCUAAUACCGGAUAACAUUUUGAACCGCAUGGUUCAAAAUUGAAAGGCGGCUUCGGCUGUCACUUAUGGAUGGACCCGCGUCGCAUUAGCUAGUUGGUGAGGUAACGGCUCACCAAGGCAACGAUGCGUAGCCGACCUGAGAGGGUGAUCGGCCACACUGGGACUGAGACACGGCCCAGACUCCUACGGGAGGCAGCAGUAGGGAAUCUUCCGCAAUGGACGAAAGUCUGACGGAGCAACGCCGCGUGAGUGAUGAAGGCUUUCGGGUCGUAAAACUCUGUUGUUAGGGAAGAACAAGUGCUAGUUGAAUAGGCUGGCACCUUGACGGUACCUAACCAGAAAGCCACGGCUAACUACGUGCCAGCAGCCGCGGUAAUACGUAGGUGGCAAGCGUUAUCCGGAAUUAUUGGGCGUAAAGCGCGCGCAGGUGGUUUCUUAAUUCUGAUGUGAAAGCCCACGGCUCAACCGUGAAGGGUCAUUGGAAACUGGGAGACUUGAUUGCAAAAAAGGAAAGUGAAAUUCCAUGUGUACCGGUGAAAUGCGUAAAGAUAUGGAGGAACACCAUUGGCGAAGGCGACUUUCUGGUCUGUAACUGACACUGAGGCGCGAAAGCGUGGGGAGCAAACAGGAUUAAAUACCCUGGUAGUCCACGCCGUAAACGAUGAUUGCUAAUUGUUAGAGGGUUUCCCCCCUUUAUUGCUGAAGUUAACGCAUUAAGCACUCCGCCUGCGGAGUACGGUCGGCAGGGGUGAAACUCAAAGGAAUUAACGGGGGCCCCCCACAACCGUUGUACCAUGUGGUUUUAAUUCAAAACACCGCGAAAAACUUAACAAGGUCGUGAAAUCCCCCUGAAAACCCUGAAAG
rnacentral:rRNA from 1 species